rnacentral:rRNA from 1 species
AGAGUUUGAUCCUGGCUCAGAACGAACGCUGGCGGCAGGCUUAACACAUGCAAGUCGAACGAACUCUUCGGAGUUAGUGGCAGACGGGUGAGUAACACGUGGGAACCUACCCUGUUCUUCGGAAUAACACAUGGAAACGUGUGCUAAUACCGGAUACGCCCUUAUGGGGAAAGAUUUAUCGGAAUAGGAUGGGCCCGCGUAAGAUUAGCUAGAUGGUGAGGUAAUGGCUCACCAUGGCGACGAUCUUUAGCUGGUCUGAGAGGGUGAUCAGCCACACUGGGACUGAGACACGGCCCAGACUCCUACGGGAGGCAGCAGUGGGGAAUAUUGGACAAUGGGGGCAACCCUGAUCCAGCCAUGCCGCGUGAGUGAUGAAGGCCUUAGGGUUGUAAAGCUCUUUCAGUGGUGAAGAUAAUGACGGUAACCACAGAGGAAGCCCCGGCUAACUUCGUGCCAGCAGCCGCGGUAAUACGAAGGGGGCUAGCGUUGUUCGGAUUUACUGGGCGUAAAGCGCACGUAGGCGGAUUGGUCAGUUAGGGGUGAAAUCCCGGAGCUCAACUCCGGAACUGCCUUUAAUACUGCCAGUCUAGAGACCGAGAGAGGUGAGUGGAACUCCUAGUGUAGAGGUGGAAUUCGUAGAUAUUAGGAAGAACACCAGUGGCGAAGGCGGCUCACUGGCUCGGUACUGACGCUGAGGUGCGAAAGUGUGGGGAGCAAACAGGAUUAGAUACCCUGGUAGUCCACGCCGUAAAC